AUACGGAGGAUGCAAGCGUUAUCCGGAUUUAUUGGGUUUAAAGGGUGCGUAGGCGGAUGAUUAAGCGUGAGGUGAAAUGCCACAACUCAACAGUGGAACUGCCUCGCGAACUGGUUGUCUUGAAUGCUCCUGCCGUGGGAGGAAUGUGUGGUGUAGCGGUGAAAUGCAUAGAGAUCACACAGAACACCGAUUGCGAAGGCAUCUCACGAAGGGGUGAUUGACGCUGAGGCACGAAAGCGUGGGGAUCAAACAGGAUUAGAUACCCUGGUAGUCCACGCAGUAAACGAUGAUAACUAACCGCUGGGUCGUAGUGAUUCAGUGGCCAAGCGAAAGCGAUAAGUUAUCCACCUGGGGAGUACGACCGCAAGGUUGAAACUCAAAGGAAUUGACGGGG
rnacentral:rRNA from 1 species